UACGUAGGGUGCGAGCGUUAUCCGGAAUUACUGGGCGUAAAGGGUGUGUAGGUGGCUGCCAUAGUCGGGCGUGAAAUCCCGGGGCUUAACCUCGGGUUUGCGUUCGAUACUUGGUGGCUGGAGUGCGGGAGAGGGAAGUGGAAUUCCCGGUGUAGCGGUGAAAUGCGUAGAUAUAUGGAGGAACACCGGUGGCGAAAGCGGCUCUCUGGUCUGUAACUGACGCUGAGGCUCGAAAGCGUGGGGAGCGAACAGG
rnacentral:rRNA from 1 species